GUGUCUAGAUCAUGCCACUGCCGGCUCACUGGGCAAUUUCCUGUCAUUUAGAAGUUAAAUGACAUUUGCUUCUGCCCAUUAAGUACUAGCGACACCUACCCUGGCUAUGACUCACACAAGCUCCAUGAAAAAAAAAGUUUUAUUUUUCAAUCAGAUCUUGCAGCACAGUGUGUUUAGGAGACAAGAAAAUGUAAAAACUGUCAGGAAGGGUGUAGGAAGGCUGUG